rnacentral:rRNA from 1 species
GACCGGAGUGGACGAACCUCUGGUGUUCGGGUUGUCACGCCAGUGGCAUUGCCCGGUAGCUAAGUUCGGAAUCGAUAAGCGCUGAAAGCAUCUAAGCGCGAAGCGAGCCUUGAGAUGAGUUUUCCCUGGCACUUUAAGUGCCCUAAAGGGUUGUUCGAGACUAGAACGUUGAUAGGCAGGGUGUGUAAGCGCUGUGAGGCGUUGAGCUAACCUGUACUAAUUGCCCGUGAGGCUUAACCAUACAACACCCAAGGGGUUUUGUA